rnacentral:rRNA from 1 species
UACGAAGGGGGCUAGCGUUGUUCGGAAUCACUGGGCGUAAAGCGCACGUAGGCGGAUGUGCCAGUCAGGGGUGAAAUCCCGGAGCUCAACUUCGGAACUGCCUCUGAUACAGCACGUCUUGAGUCCGGAAGAGGUGGGUGGAAUUCCUAGUGUAGAGGUGAAAUUCGUAGAUAUUAGGAAGAACACCGGUGGCGAAGGCGGCCCACUGGCCCGGUACUGACGCUGAGGUGCGAAAGCGUGGGGAGCAAACAGG